rnacentral:lncRNA from 1 species
ACGUCCACUAGGCAUUAGUGUUUAUAAUUACAAAUUGUGGAAGUACAGCGAUAGCUUUUUACCAUUUCUCUUUUUAGCAGUGUUUGUCACAUCCCUGUUUAGACACCACUGGGAGAGUUUAUCGACUUCAAUGUAAAUAUGCCAACAGAAUGGAGCAGAUGCGCUGGAGUGACUUCUUCACAUUUCAAGGCUUUUUCGUGGAUUCCAUCUGGGAUGUGAUGGGGCCAAAGGAUGAACGUUUUAUUUAUACCAAGCUGGGUCUCGGUGAAGACUUGCCACUCCGUGCUGCCAUAAUGAGACGGCUGAAGAGACGACCCAGGAAGUCUGAGCACCCUGACUGCUGCUGGUCUGCCGGCCGCCGAUGCUGCUCACCUGACUGGGGAAAUUCCGUGGAUUACGGCCACGAACCCAAGCUCAAAAGACAUCCAAGCCACCCAAAGAUGUCCACGUAGAUUAAAAAACUGAAUUUUGAUUUUAUGUCAAAAUUAAAAUUUUACAGAUAUCACGAUGUCAGAUCCGUCUCAUGUGCCUGAAAUAGCUACUCAAGUAUGGUUCUAUUUUCAUUGGAUCACGGGAGUAAGACAUAGUAGAAAUUGCUAAUUUUACUCAGAUUCAUGGUAUUUACUGCUAUAAUAAAAAGAAAAGUUCCAUACUCAAAAUUGUACAGAAUCUGAGCACUUAGGCAUUUCUCUUCACAGAAAUAUAUAACAACAUUAAAAUAUUAGAUUGUCAAAACACAAGCCAAGUUUGAAUUUUUUUGAGAGCUGAUCACUUAAAAUGAUCUUGGUAAAUAAACCCACUUACGAUAUUUUCAACUUUAAACUUAUCUCAGAUAAUGUUAAAUUAUGGAUACCUUAUAAGUGAUAAAUCUUUUGCCUAUGUAUAAGUAUAGAUUUACUAUUCCUAUAUGAAAUACUUGUUUGAAACCAUAUUUUUAACACUUAGAGGGUAAAAUUGUAGAUGAUUAUAAAUAAAACCAAAAUGAUGACUGACUCAAUGAUAGCCAUGAUCUCCAGGAAAAACUGACAUUUAACUGUACUAUUCUAUGUAACCCAUAAGUAUUGGGUGCUCUACAUCUCAGUUUUAGAACAUUUUCCACUAAUAAUUUUCAUUCUUCCCAUGCUAAACUGUAAAU